rnacentral:rRNA from 1 species
CGUGCCGUCGAGGGUGUCGGGUUAAGUCCCAUAACGAGCGCAACCCUACCUUUAGUUGCCAUCAGGUAAUGCUGGGGACUCUAAAGGAACUGCCUACGCAAGUAGUGAGGAAGGCGGGGAUGACGUCAAAUCAGCACGGCCCUUACGUCCAGGGCUACACACGUGCUACAAUGGCCGAUACAGAGGGCAGCUACCUGGUGACAGGAUGCAAAUCUCCAAAGUCGGUCUCAGUUCGGAUCGGAGUCUGCAACCCGACUCCGUGAAGUUGGAUUCGCUAGUAAUCGCGCAUCAGCCAUGGCGCGGUGAAUACGUUCCCGGGCCUU